rnacentral:tRNA from 1 species
GGCGCGAUGGCCGAGUAGUCAGGCAACGGUCUGCAAAACCGUCCACACCGGUGCGAAUCCGGUUCGCGCCU